rnacentral:rRNA from 1 species
UACGGAGGGUGCGAGCGUUGUCCGGAAUCACUGGGCGUAAAGGGCGCGUAGGCGGCCUGAUAAGUAGGGGGUGAAAUCCUGCGGCUUAACCGCAGGGCUGCCUUCUAAACUGUCAGGCUUGAGCACAGUAGAGGCAGGUGGAAUUCCCGGUGUAGCGGUGGAAUGCGUAGAGAUCGGGAAGAACAUCAGUGGCGAAGGCGGCCUGCUGGGCUGUUGCUGACGCUGAGGCGCAACAGCGUGGGGAGCAAACAGG